rnacentral:misc_RNA from 1 species
GAUGAAGAACGUAGUGAAAUGCGAUAAGUAAUGUGAAUUGCAGAAUUCAGUGAAUCAUCGAAUCUUUGAACGCACAUUGCGCCCGCCAGCAUUCUGGCGGGCAUGCCUGUUCGAGCGUCAUUUCAACCCUCGAGCCCCCCCGGGGGCCUCGGUGUUGGGGGACGGCACACCAGCCGCCCCCGAAAUGCAGUGGCGACCCCGCCGCAGCCUCCCCUGCGUAGUAGCACACACCUCGCACCGGAGCGCGAAGGCGGUCACGCCGUAAAACGCCCAACUUUCUUAGAGUUGACCUCGGAUCAGGUAGGAAUACCCGCUGAACUUAAGCAUAUCAAUAAGCGGAGGA